GUGGGAAUUAUGAAAGAGAUGGGUUUAGAUGCAUACAGAUUCUCAAUCUCAUGGUCUCGAUUGCUACCAAAAGGAAAACUAAGUGGGGGUGUUAACAGAGAAGGAAUAAAAUAUUACAAUGACCUCAUCAAUGAGCUAGUAGCAAAAGGUGUACAGCCCUUUGUGACACUUUUCC